UGGGAGCCUACCAUGCAAGUCGAGCGGAAACGAGUUAUCUGAACCUUCGGGGAACGAUAACGGCGUCGAGCGGCGGACGGGUGAGUAAUGCCUAGGAAAUUGCCCUGAUGUGGGGGAUAACCAUUGGAAACGAUGGCUAAUACCGCAUGAUGCCUACGGGCCAAAGAGGGGGACCUUCGGGCCUCUCGCGUCAGGAUAUGCCUAGGUGGGAUUAGCUAGUUGGUGAGGUAAGGGCUCACCAAGGCGACGAUCCCUAGCUGGUCUGAGAGGAUGAUCAGCCACACUGGAACUGAGACACGGUCCAGACUCCUACGGGAGGCAGCAGUGGGGAAUAUUGCACAAUGGGCGCAAGCCUGAUGCAGCCAUGCCGCGUGUGUGAAGAAGGCCUUCGGGUUGUAAAGCACUUUCAGUCGUGAGGAAGGUGGUGUCGUUAAUAGCUGCAUUAUUUGACGUUAGCGACAGAAGAAGCACCGGCUAACUCCGUGCCAGCAGCCGCGGUAAUACGGAGGGUGCGAGCGUUAAUCGGAAUUACUGGGCGUAAAGCGCAUGCAGGUGGUUUGUUAAGUCAGAUGUGAAAGCCCGGGGCUCAACCUCGGAAUAGCAUUUGAAACUGGCAGACUAGAGUACUGUAGAGGGGGGUAGAAUUUCAGGUGUAGCGGUGAAAUGCGUAGAGAUCUGAAGGAAUACCGGUGGCGAAGGCGGCCCCCUGGACAGAUACUGACACUCAGAUGCGAAAGCGUGGGGAGCAAACAGGAUUAGAUCCCUGGGUAAAU
rnacentral:rRNA from 1 species